rnacentral:misc_RNA from 1 species
GAUGAAGAACGCAGCGAACUGCGAUAAGUAAUGUGAAUUGCAGAAUUCAGUGAAUCAUCGAGUCUUUGAACGCACAUUGCGCCCCCUGGCAUUCCGGGGGGCAUGCCUGUCCGAGCGUCAUUGCUGCCCUUCAAGCCCGGCUUGUGUGUUGGGUCGUCGUCCCCCCCGGGGGACGGGCCCGAAAGGCAGCGGCGGCACCGCGUCCGGUCCUCGAGCGUAUUGGGCUUUGUCACCCGCUCGAUUAGGGCCGGCCGGGCGCCAGCCGGCGUCUCCAACCUUCUAUUUUACCAGGUUGACCUCGGAUCAGGUAGGGAUACCCGCUGAACUUAAGCAUAUCAAUAAGCGGAGGA